rnacentral:rRNA from 1 species
GAUGAACGCUGGCGGCGUGCCUAAUACAUGCAGGUCGAGCGAACGGACGAGAAGCUUGCUUCUCUGAUGUUAGCGGCGGACGGGUGAGUAACACGUGGAUAACCUACCUAUAAGACUGGGAUAACUUCGGGAAACCGGAGCUAAUACCGGAUGAUAUUUUGAACCGCAUGGUUCAAAAGUGAAAGACGGUCUUGCUGUCACUUAUAGAUGGAUCCGCGCUGCAUUAGCUAGUUGGUAAGGUAACGGCUUACCAAGGCAACGAUGCAUAGCCGACCUGAGAGGGUGAUCGGCCACACUGGAACUGAGACACGGUCCAGACUCCUACGGGAGGCAGCAGUAGGGAAUCUUCCGCAAUGGGCGAAAGCCUGACGGAGCAACGCCGCGUGAGUGAUGAAGGUCUUCGGACCGUAAAACUCUGUUAUUAGGGAAGAUCAUAUGUGUAAGUAACUGUGCACAUCUUGACGGUACCUAAUCAGAAAGCCACGGCUAACUACGUG